UACAGAGGUCCCAAGCGUUGUUCGGAUUCACUGGGCGUAAAGGGUGCGCAGGUGGUCGGGUAAGUCUGAUGUGAAAUCCCGCAGCUUAACUGCGGAAUGGCAUUGGAUACUAUUCGGCUAGAGGGUUGGAGGGGGGACUGGAAUUCUCGGUGUAGCAGUGAAAUGCGUAGAUAUCGAGAGGAACACCAGUGGCGAAGGCGAGUCCCUGGACAACUCCUGACGCUGAGGCACGAAAGCUAGGGGAGCAAACAGG
rnacentral:rRNA from 1 species